AGUGGUUCAUGGAAGAAUGAAGAAUUCAAGUCUUAUAAUUUCAAUGCACUAGGAGCUCCUCUUGCCACUGGUCACCUCCAUCCAUUGCUUAAAGUUAGGACCGAAAUACGACAAAUAUUCCUUGAGAUGGGAUUUUGUGAAAUGCCUACAAAUAAUUUCAUUGAGAGCUCCUUUUGGAAUUUUGAUGCUCUUUUCCAGCCUCAGCAGCACCCUGCCCGUGAUGCUCAUGACACAUUCUUUUUAAAAGAUCCCCAGUUUUCCUAUGAUUUUCCUACCGAAUAUUUAGAGAGAGUGAAGACCAUGCACCAGACAGGAGGACAUGGAUCAAUAGGGUAG